rnacentral:rRNA from 1 species
UACGUAGGGGGCGAGCGUUGUCCGAAGUUACUGGGCGUAAAGCGCGUGUAGGCGGCCCGGUAAGUCCGCUGUGAAAGUCGGGGGCUCAACCCUCGAAUGCCGGUGGAUACUGUCGGGCUAGAGUGCGGGAGAGGCGAGUGGAAUUCCUGGUGUAGCGGUGAAAUGCGCAGAUAUCAGGAGGAACACCAAUUGCGAAGGCAGCUCGCUGGAACGUAACUGACGCUGAGACGCGAAAGCGUGGGGAGCAAACAGG